rnacentral:rRNA from 1 species
UACGUAGGGUGCGAGUGUUGUCCGGAAUUAUUGGGCGUAAAGAGCUCGUAGGCGGUCUGUCGCGUCGAUCGUGAAAACUUGGGGCUUAACCCUGAGCUUGCGGUCGAUACGGGCAUGACUGGAGUUCGGCAGGGGAGACUGGAAUUCCUGGUGUAGCGGUGAAAUGCGCAGAUAUCAGGAGGAACACCGGUGGCGAAGGCGGGUCUCUGGGCCGAUACUGACGCUGAGGAGCGAAAGCGUGGGGAGCGAACAGG